rnacentral:rRNA from 1 species
CCUACGGGAGGCAGCAGUGGGGAAUAUUGCGCAAUGGGCGAAAGCCUGACGCAGCGACGCCGCGUGAGGGAUGAAGGUCUUCGGAUCGUACACCUCUGUUAGCAGGGAAGAACGGUCACUGUGCUAAUCAGCAGUGAAUUGACGGUACCUGCAAAGGAAGCACCGGCUAACUCCGUGCCAGCAGCCGCGGUAAUACGGAGGGUGCGAGCGUUGAUCGGAUGUAGUGGGCUUAAAGCUCUCGUAGGAGGUAUGUCAAGUCUAGGGUGAAAUCCCCGCGCUCAACGUGGGAACUGCCUUUGAAACUGGCAAACGUGAGUGUGUGAGAGGAUAGUGGAAUUCCAGGUGUAGGAGUGAAAUCCUUAGAUAUCUGGAGGAACAUCAGUGGCGAAGGCGACUAUCUGGCACAUAACUGACGCUGAGGAGCGAAAGCGUGGGUAGCAAACAGGAUUAGAUACCCUGGUAGUC